rnacentral:rRNA from 1 species
UUUAGUAUGGCGACCGGCGCACGGGUGAGUAACACGUAUCCAACCUGCCGAUGACUCGGGGAUAGCCUUUCGAAAGAAAGAUUAAUACCCGAUGGCAUAGUUCUUCCGCAUGGUAGAACUAUUAAAGAAUUUCGGUCAUCGAUGGGGAUGCGUUCCAUUAGGUUGUUGGCGGGGUAACGGCCCACCAAGCCUUCGAUGGAUAGGGGUUCUGAGAGGAAGGUCCCCCACAUUGGAACUGAGACACGGUCCAA